rnacentral:rRNA from 1 species
UACGUAGGGCCGAGCGUUGUCCGGAAUUUAUUGGGCGUAAAGGGCUCGUAGGCGGUUUGUCGCGUCGGGAGUGAAAACCAGGUGCUUAACACCUGGCCUGCUUUCGAUACGGGCAGACUAGAGGCAUUCAGGGGAGAACGGAAUUCCUGGUGUAGCGGUGAAAUGACGCAGAUAUCAGGAGGAACACCCGGUGGCGAAGGCGGUUCUCUGGGCCGGAACUGACGCUGAGGAGCGAAAGCGUGGGGAGCGAACAGG